rnacentral:rRNA from 1 species
UUCCAGACUCCUACGGGAGGCAGCAGAGGGGAAUAUUGGGCAAUGGGCGCAAGCCUGACCCAGCAACGCCGCGUGAAGGAAGAAGGCUCUCGGGUUGUAAACUUCUUUUGACAGGGAAGAGCAGAAGACGGUACCUGUCGAAUAAGCCACGGCUAACUACGUGCCAGCAGCCGCGGUAAUACGUAGGUGGCAAGCGUUGUCCGGAUUUACUGGGUGUAAAGGGCGUGUAGCCGGGCUGACAAGUCAGAUGUGAAAUCCGGGGGCUCAACCCCCGAACUGCAUUUGAAACUGUUGGUCUUGAGUAUCGGAGAGGCAGGCGGAAUUCCUAGUGUAGCGGUGAAAUGCGUAGAUAUUAGGAGGAACACCAGUGGCGAAGGCGGCCUGCUGGACGACAACUGACGGUGAGGCGCGAAAGCGUGGGGAGCAAACAGGAUUAGAGACCCCGGUAGUA